rnacentral:rRNA from 1 species
GACGAACGCUGGCGGCGUGCUUAACACAUGCAAGUCGAACGGAAAGGCCCUGCUUGCCGGGUACUCGAGUGGCGAACGGGUGAGUAACACGUGGGUGAUCUGCCCUGCACUUCGGGAUAAGCUUGGGAAACUGGGUCUAAUACCGGAUAGGAGCCAUCUUUAGUGUGGUGGUUGGAAAGUUUUUUCGGUGUAGGAUGAGCUCGCGGCCUAUCAGCUUGUUGGUGGGGUAAUGGCCUACCAAGGCGGCGACGGGUAGCCGGCCUGAGAGGGUGUACGGCCACAUUGGGACUGAGAUACGGCCCAGACGCCUACGGGAGGCAGCAGUGGGGAAUAUUGCACAAUGGGCGCAAGCCUGAUGCAGCGACGCCGCGGGGGGGAUGAAGGCCUUCGGGUUGUAAACUCCUUUCGCUAGGGACGAAGCUUUUUGUGACGGUACCUAGAUAAGAAGCACCGGCUAACUACGUG